rnacentral:rRNA from 1 species
AGAGUUUGAUCAUGGCUCAGGACGAACGCUGGCGGCGUGCUUAACACAUGCAAGUCGUGGGCACCAGCAAUGGUGACCGGCGAACGGGUGCGUAACACGUGAGCGACCUACCGAUUUGUGGGGGAUAGCCGGCCCAACGGCCGGGUAAUACCGCAUACGCCAAGUGGACUUCAUGGUCCGUUUGGGAAACCUCCGGGGCA